GACGAACGCUGGCGGCGUGCUUAACACAUGCAAGUCGAACGAUGAAGAAGAGAAACGCGAACUUCGGUUCAAAUUUCACUUCGGAUUAGUGGCAGACGGGUGAGUAACGCGUGAGCAACCUACCUCUUACAAAGGGAUAGCCUCGGGAAACCGUGAUUAAUACCAUAUGACACAUUCAUAAGGCAUCUUAAGAAUGUUAAAGCUACGGCGGUAAGAGAUGGGCUCGCGUCCCAUUAGCUAGCUGGUGAGGUAACGGCCCACCAAGGCGACGAUGGGUAACCGGCCUGAGAGGGUGAACGGUCACAUUGGAACUGAGACACGGUCCAAACUCCUACGGGAGGCAGCAGUGGGGAAUAUUGCACAAUGGAGGGAACUCUGAUGCAGCGACGCCGCGUGAGCGAUGAAGGAAUUCGUUUCGUAAAGCUCUGUUCUAUGGGAAGAAAAGGACUGUACCAUAGGAGAAAGCCCCGGCUAAAUACGUG
rnacentral:rRNA from 1 species